CUGGAGACAGGUGCUGCAUGGCUGUCGUCAGCUCGUGUCGUGAGAUGUUGGGUUAAGUCCCGCAACGAGCGCAACCCUUGUCCUUAGUUACCAGCACGUUAUGGUGGGCACUCUAAGGAGACUGCCGGUGACAAGCCGGAGGAAGGUGGGGAGUGACGUCAAGUCAUCAUGGCCCUUACGGCCUGGGCUACACACGUGCUACAAUGGUCGGUACAAAGGGUUGCCAAGCCGCGAGGUGGAGCUAAUCCCAUAAAACCGAAUCGUAGUCCGGAUCGCAGUCUGCAACUCGACUGCGUGAAGUCGGAAUCGCUAGUAAUCGUGAAUCAGAAUGUCACGGUGAAUACGUUCCCGGGCCUU
rnacentral:rRNA from 1 species